UAGAAUUGUCCCAAAUUCAUGUAAUAUUAAAGCCCUGUUAAUAUCGUAGACUAUUACAGAUGUGACGAAAAAUAAAAUAGUCAAUAAGUUGUGUACAUUUCCAAAAGAAUUUAUUUGAUCGGUUUUGGGUUAUCAUUCUUUAGUUCGAAAAUGGGCGUACCCGCAAAAGUAUUAGCAAUAGUACUUCUGCUACUUACGGAUUUGGUAGCCGCCGAUUCGUUGAGCCCUGGCUAUAUAGCUGGCUGUGUCUUAGGACCACUGUGUUUCUUUCUUUUAAUAACUCUCAUCGUAUUGAUUGUACUGUAUUGCAAGAAGACGGAAGAAACAAAGAAAAACUAUGAGGAAAUUACAAAGUUAAAGAAAUGCAUAAAAGACAAUCAAUCAAUUUAUUCUAGUCGAUAAGUUGUAGAAUUGUUCUAAGUAAACAAAUAAAUUAA
rnacentral:sRNA from 1 species